UAGAGUUUGAUCCUGGCUCAGAAUCAACGCUGGCGGCGUGCCUAACACAUGCAAGUCGAACGAGAAAGUGGAGCAAUCCAUGAGUACAGUGGCGAACGGGUGAGUAACACGUGACUAACCUGCCUUCGAGUGGGGGAUAACCUCGGGAAACCGGGGCUAAUACCGCAUAAGAUCCUAAGGGUGCAAUUCCCAUGGGACCAAAGGGGUAAGACGCUUGAAGAGGGGGUCGCGGCUGAUUAGCUAGUUGGUGAGGUAACGGCUCACCAAGGCGAAGAUCGGUAGCCGGCCUGAGAGGGCGCACGGCCACACUGGAACUGAAACACGGUCCAGACUCCUACGGGAGGCAGCAGUGGGGAAUUUUGCGCAAUGGGGGAAACCCUGACGCAGCAACGCCGCGUGG
rnacentral:rRNA from 1 species